GCCCCUGUGGCGCAGUGGUCAGCGCGCUCCCGCCUUCCGGGAGAGGUCCUCGGUUCGACUCCGAGCAGAAGCA
rnacentral:tRNA from 1 species